GCCAAAAGCAUCUCUCAGACAGUCUCUACAGGACUCUUCCAGGUCCCGGAAGCCCGAGCGAGCUUCCUGGAGGAGGUGGCUGGGGAGAGUGGAGGAGCCGGUAGGGGUCGCUGUGCUUGCGCGCGCCCGUCCAGGAACUCGCCGGGGCUGUGGGGAGGGGGCGCCGGCCUGGAGAGGACAAUGUACAGUCUGUUCUAACACCCACCCACUCCAAACGCACACUUCCCACCCCGUCUCUUGUCCCUCCCAGCCCCGGGGCUAGACCCUGAGGGCUCGGGCCGCACCUCACGCGUCUCUCCACCCCCAAGGCCCCUCCUGACCCACCCCAGGGCGGGCUGGUCUCCCCUUGGGGGGCCGGGGGCCAAGAAUGGGCGCGUCAACUGGGGCAAAUUAACACGUAGGAAAACACCCCAGCACCUGGAGAAACAGGAGCUGGGGCUGGGGGAGGGCGGCCAGAGCCUUCGAAGUCAGAACCCGAAAGGAGCGAUAAUUCACCCUAGUGUCCCGCGGCCUCCCGCCUGCCCCCUACCCCCGCCUCGCAGCCUCUGGUUUCAAAGGCGGACAAACAGCGCACUGUGCUUGGCCGCGGCUCCCUCGCUAAAUCUUCCUGUCUUCAAGUUCUUGUAACUUGAGCCGGCAGAGCUGACCCUCCCUCGGAGGCCUGAAGGGGUCCCUGUCACACACCAUAUAGGAAGUCCAACUCGCCAUAGCCCAGCAUGCCGUGAGGAAGCUCAAGCUAGCCAUGUGGAGGGGCCAGGAAGAAAGAGAAAGUGAUGCUUGGCCAAGCACCCAGCUGUUCCAUCUACCCCAGCUAAAAUGCUAGGUAUGUUAGUGAAGAAGAGCCUGGACAUCCCACCCAAUCCAGCCUUCAAGCAACUCCAUUCCAGCUACUACCUGGGAACCAGGUGAGAUACCCCAAGCAAGAACUGCCUAGCUGGAACAAGUCAACCCACAGAACUGUGAGAGUUAAUAAUAAAUUUUUUGUUUUAAG
rnacentral:lncRNA from 10 species